UUUUGCUUUCUUCUUCAGAUGAAGAAUCGAUUGAUGACGAUGGUGAAAAUUUUCGCUCUCUAAUUAAAAUGUUGUAUGAUAAAUUCAACGAUAAAGAAACUGAUAAGUCUUUGAAAAUACAAAUUUUAACAUUAUUACCUGUAAAAUGGAGUGAGAGACGUAUUUGUGAAACUAUGAAUACAUCAAGACAUUUGUCAAGAGUAGCAAAAAUUUGGUUGAAGAAACGGGUUUACUUUCUACACCUGAAUCGAAAUUAGGGAGGACAAUUACUGAUCAGGUAAAAUUAAAAGUUGAAAAUUUUUACAACGAUGAUGAGUAUAGUGCUCAAAUGCCCGGUAUGAAAGACUUUGUAUCAAUUCGAAGUGAUGAUGGUAAUCGGAUACACGUCCAAAAAGACUUAUCCUGUCUAACUUAAAAGAAUUAUACCAAUGUUUCUGUGAAAUAAAUCCUGCUGAGAGAAUUGGAUUUUCAAAAUUCGCUUCUUUGCGACCAAAACAUUGUGUGUUAGCAGGGGCAAGUGGAACACAUACCAUCUGCGUGUGUACGAUUCAUCAAAACGUGAAGUUAAUGAUGCUUGGUGCAAAUAUUUAUUCUUUGACAAGGAACACAGAAAAGCCCAUUAAACACUACAGCGAUUACUUGAGCAUGAUUAUAUGUGAAAAUCCGUCUUUUCAGUGUUAUUUAGGUGGAUGUAAAAACUGUCCUGGGGUCGAUGAGUUGAGUAAAAUUUUACUAAAAUGUUUUGAGGACCGGGAAAUCGAGAAUAUUACAUAUAAAUAUUGGAUAUCAAAACCGAGAAGUAGUUUAGAAACUAUUAUUAAGCCUACAGAAGAAUUUGUGGAAA